CCUCCUUUUCUUGGCGACUGGGCAUGGGGUCCUGCUCCCCAUUAUGUACGGAGGCAGAAGGAAAGGGCUCGGCCCCCUUGGCAUCAUGUCUUUGGUGCCAGCGGCUUUCCAUCUACCGGUUCUAUCCUUAAGGGCUGGAACAGUG